CAAUCACUGUCAAGACUCCGAGGGCCCCUGGGAGGCUGCGGUCUCUCCUCCGGGUGGGCACCCCUCCAAGGUAGCAACUCUUCCCUGCCUGCGCCCCCCACCCCAGGGUCCCAUCGGUCCCCUCGAGCUUGCUGUCAUCGCCACCUCCGGCCCGGGACGACCUUUGGGUGAGGUCCGCGAGGGCCAAGAUGCUCCUCAAGCUGAUAACCCAGAAACACCCGAAGACAGCGGUGACAGCCGACAGUAACGGAAUUAGCGAUGCCUAUAAGGCUACACGACCCGAGCACACAGGGGGACAGCAGCCGGCUGGGAGCUCUGCACCCGACCCAGCCCCACCUGGCAAUACACAUGCACACACACAUUCCUCCUUCCCCUCCCCCUCCCCCAGCUGGGCAGGGGUCCCCUCUGGGGGCGGGGCCUCGCUCGCCUCGGGUUAUAAAGCUGUCCCCUCAGCCUUGGGUGCCCCAGACUCCGCGCACCAUGGCUCCCAGGCGGCCGCUGACGGUCCAGCUCCUGGCCGCGCUGCUUUCCCUCCUCUGCCUUCCCAGGGUCCGAGGCGCCGGAGUCUUCGAACUGCAAGUCCACUCUUUCCGGCCGGGGCCUGGGUCCCCCGGCUCCCCAGGCUCGCCGUGUGGGGCCAGGAGCUCCUGCCGCCUCAUCUUCCGCGUCUGCCUGAAGCCCGCGCUGCCCGACCUGAGUCCGGAGCUACCGUGCGCCCUGGGGGCUGCGCUCAGCACCUCCGGAAGCCCCGGUCCCGGGGACCCCACCGAUCCCGGGCCGCAGCUCUCCCUGGCCGACGGCCUCAUCCGUGUCCCUUUCCGUACCGCCUGGCCGGUGAGGAGCCCAGAGCCUUGGGACCCACGGGACCUAGCUCCCCAUUUCAUGACUGCCUGAGACCUCCAUGUCAGACCCCAACUCCCGCCCACAGCAAGCGGCCUUAUGCCUUGUAUUCUUACCACAACCCCGCAACCCUGGGGCUCUCAUCUUCGGAGACACCCCCCUUUUCUCCCCAGCCUCUAAUUCUGGAACUCUGAGGGACGCC
rnacentral:lncRNA from 1 species